ensembl:lncRNA
GUUCGGAAAAUGACUGAAGAUCUAAAAUGAUCUAAUUGUACUUAGACAUUUCAUGCAAACCAUCGUUGAGUAGGGAAAAAGCUGAGAGUCAAUACAAUUGUGACAUGAACUAUUCUUCUUGUCUUUUAGUUGUCCAUUUGGUUAUUCUGGUUUUAACUGCAAUGAAUGUGAGUAUACAGCAUGUGGUUGACAGUGAAGGCAAAAAGAACAACAAAACACAUAAUGACAACCAAAAAAUAAACAUAAAAAAUCACUAUUUGAAAAUAGUUAUAUGAACUUGUUGCAAACUCACAUAGAAAUUGUAAUACCUCCCUAAAUCAUGUUCAUACACAACUCCUGGAAAAUGCAAAAUAAUUUAGGGGGAAACAUAAUCCUGCUUGUAUUGCUUUAAUAUCAAUGCAUGGCAAGUAAAUUACUGUUUAAGACACCGUUUUCAGUUUGGUCAGUUUGGUCUGUGCUGCAGUGGUCUAUAAUACUUGCUUUACAACAGGAUCUGUGUACUGAAUGUAUGUUCUUUGAGCAGAUUUUGGAUAAAGGUUACAUUACUUCCAUGACAAAAAUACCGUAGUAGGUACAUUUAUAUAUAAAAUCAGUGGAUUUGAUUUCAUUAUUGCUAUGAUUCUGAUUGUGGAAGCUCUUUUUAGGUUUUGUUUUAGAAAAAAUAUUUCCAUAGCCUUUUUACUGAUGUCAUUAUCAUUGUGUUUUGUUAGCAUGGCAGCUGACACUGGUGAUUGUCGGGUCCGUGUUAGGGGGACUGCUGCUCAUCACACUCAUUCUUCUGCCUGUUGUGGCACUCAAAUCCCCAAAGAAGAGUUCCAAGAAGAAGAACAAAAAUGCAGACAUUGGGACUUACGUCACCCACUCUCCUGCCAAGGCACCAUUGGUUAACGGCAACCACACAGCCGCAUUUAAUGGGCAGGCCAAUUCCUUUGCCAAUGCUGGGGUGCCUAGGAUCCCACGGGCCACAACCACCAGUAGCUGGGACAGCAGGACCAACCUUGAGAUGACUCCAAGCAAUAGCCGGCAAAACCUUGUCAAUUCGGGGAGGAACAUGCGGCAGUUUGAAGACGAUGAUGACAUGCCCCCUUAUGCUCAGGUUCGACCCCAGAGCAGCCUCUAUGAUCAGGCUCGACCCCAGAGCAGCCUCUACGCUCAGGCUCGACCCCAGAACAACCCCUAUGCCCAGGAUCGACCCCAGAACAACCCCUAUGCCCAGGAUCGACCCCAGAACAACCCGUACGCUUCGAGCCAAGGCCAAUCAAACCCUUACUACACGCAUGACAAUGGAAGACGGUUCAAUUAAUGAGGAACCACAAAGGUUUAUCCUACAGUGACACUUGCCCAGAUCAAAAACUUGUUGAGGUUUCAUUGGAAACAUCUCAGAAUAAUUCUUUCCCUAAAAAAUAACUGUUCACUGUUAAUAUAGUAUUAUGGUAAGAGUUGUUUUAACAGAAGCACUAAUUACUAUUACUGUGCCAUAUGGCAGGUAUGUUCUUUCACCACACUGACCAGCAUUGUUCUAUUCUGUAAGCUGUCAUAAAUCAUUCCUGUCUUUGCUUGACUAAUCUCUGUGAAAGUUUGAGAAACGUACACUGUAGUUAUCUUUGCCGUCUAUGAAUAUUGAUAUUACUUACUUAAAGAUCAUCUCCAGACAUGUACUAUGACAUAUAGAAAUAAUUUGUUUAGUAUAAUUUACACAUUAAAAUCCUUAAAAAGGCAUUUACUCCUACCUCAAAUGUCUCUUACUUCAUUAUAAAGUCCAUUCUCAGUGUAUGUGAUGUCACAACACAUGCGUGUAGGCCCCGCCCCUUAAAAUCUGAUUUUAAAUAAGCACAGAGAAACUUUCCACUUUCAUGAAAAGCCUAUUUUUGAGUAGACAGGAACUUAAGAAAGUGUAAUUGUUUAAUGGCAUUGAGGCAGAAAUUGAUACUUUGAUCAGGCUGAAACCCAGAAAUGAGAAUGUUCAUUAUCUUUCUCUUGCCAUGUUAUUAAAUGGCUCGUCUAUGAAUUUACAAGUUAUCAUUUCGCAUGUAAAAUGAUUUAAGGUUCUGUUUUUUUUUAUAAUGAGACAAGUUUCUUUUGUUCAAAUAAAAUCAAAUGAGUUAUUCUUUCAAAUUAGGGCAUAUUUGUCCGUUCAUAUAUUUUUAAAUGUUUACUACAUUGAAAUUGUUUUGUCUGUUUUGUAUAGCUGAGAG